UGCAGGCAGAUUUGUUUAUUUGACAGGCUCUGCUCACUUGACUUUCUAAGGGUAAAAAUAUACAUUCCUAUCUGGAAAGGCUUCCAUAGGAAUGGUUCUACUGGUUGCAUCGUUCAGUGAUCACUCAGAGCCAACAGGGCUGAUAAGGUGUGCCUGGCUGCGGUCUCUGCUCCAGCUUAACACCGGCACGGCAUGGGUCUAAUGCAAACGCUAGUUUUGGUCUGUUCCUGCAAGAGCCUCCCAAGGGCAUGUUUUUCUGCACUGUGGGUGGUUUCUGUCUUUCAGAAUUAUAUUGAUAAGGUUUGAGCCUUGAUGGAAUGAAAAAUGCCAGCAGCCUCCAUGACAGCGAAGUUGAUUUCCUUCUACUGGAUAUGUCCUGGCUUUGGACUUACCUCCCCAGUUGUACAACAGAAGACAUUAUCCAGUGCCUCCAGCAGACAAUGCAAUACUGCAGUCAAACAGCACUGAUAACCUGGAGAAGAACUGCAGCAUAUGAAGGGUUUGCAGUGUCCCAUCCAUCAGAUGUGGGAGAUUUGAUGCAGCGUUGUCCUGGAAGCUGUUCCGUCUGGGUAAAAGCUCCAGUAAGCCCAGCAUUUAGGUUUGUUAUUGGCAUGUGAUGGUAGGAAAACUUAAAUUCAGGAAUGAGGGCAAGGCUAUCAUUUGCUGCCUUAUGAUAUUCCCAGAUUGAAAAGAGAGAGUCUUGCGAAUGUUUAUGGUGUGUUCCCAUGUUUAAUAGGGAUGUCAAAAAUAGUGAGAGGCCUCACUGACAUUUUUAAGAGCAGAAAGACUUUACUAUUCUCCAAUGAUGAGAAAGUACAAAGAAAUCCAAAAUCAGUUAAUAAUAAAUAUAAAAGACAUUUAAAUUAAAUUUCCCAAAUUUAGAAGUAAAAUAGAGCAGAGCUGUGGUUUAUUAAAUGAAAGGAGAGGAUUUAUGGGUCAGACAUUUCCACAAGUAGGUCUGAAACACUCAGGACCAAUGCACAGUACACCAGAAGGGUGCUUCAGCCAUGUCCUCACAGCUCCGGGAGAAAAGGGAUCUCAGGACCACUCCAAAAAUACCCUGCAGGCAGUAGUGAACAUUGAAAAGUGACUGUUAAGCAAAGGAAAUCACUGUGGUGUGUUUCCACACAGUUCUGAGUUUUCUACACUUCACACUUCCCUUUUGCAACGUUGCAAAAACUUUUCUUGUUUGUUUUCCUCUUGGAUCUUCCCAGUGCUUUGCUGGGCCUGUUCACCUGCCCUGGUGGCCUCCAUGUAUUUUCAUGAAGCCUUCUGCUAAAGUAAGUGGAAUAUUCAUUAGCUGACAAUGGAAAUAAAACCCUGACUGGUUCUUCUAGCUCAAAGAAGAAAUGUAUGGAAGAAAAUAAACUAUGCCAUCAGAAGUGUCAGAUGGUGGACUCUGCGCUGCUUUUCAGGCUGCCGUAAGGGUAUUCAGGACCCUGUGUACUGGAAAUAAAAUUUCAGAACAUUGACUUGCUCAGGAGUUGUUUUGUGAGAGUGGACCAAUAUUUGUUUAGUACCCAGGACUGGAAUUUGAGUCAAGGUUGCCAUCUCUCAGCCCAUCUUGGAACGUCUUGGAAAGUCAGAAGAAAACCAUCUCUACUGUCAUCACAGGGAGAUAAACUUGGAGGUGUACUCCUUGCUGUUAGCUGUUUCAAGAAAGAAAUUGUUUUUUAGAUUCCCCUUUAAACCUUCUCUGAUCCUAGGAGAGAGCCAGAAAUCAUUUCCCAGUAGAAAUAACAGCAGAGCAAAGGUAUCCUUGAGAAACGAUUGUUUGUUCAGCUUUAAAGUAAAUUUUUGUUUUUUGUUUCCUCCCAGCCAUGAGGAAUGGCUGAGCAGUUUUUUUACCCCCCGGAAUAUAACUGAUGAUGGCUUGCAGCAAAUAUUUUUCAUCUGCAAAGGUACUAAAGGUCUCUGCAAGAUGAAGGGCAGAGCUACUAAUCGAAUUUAUGUGGGAAGACUAUUGUACCUUCUGAUGAGCCUUGAUGAAAUCAGUAGGGAUUUUCACAUAUUUUUGCACUUCAGUAGAUUGAGUCUCAGUAUCAGCUACGGAGUAGGGAGGAUGUAUCAUAGGGGUAUCUACAGCUUUGCAACCCGCAUAUAAACGGGAAUAAGAAGUUUAUAUAUAUAAUGUAGAACAGCAAAGCAGCCUCCUCUGCAUGGAAACUAAUGACCAUUGAGAUCAAGCCAGAAAAGUAAAAAUGGAAAUACUCCUUACCCAAGAAAAACAUAAACAUUGAUAUUUGCAGUCUGUUACUACAUUAUCAGUACAAUUUACCUCAAUGACUCUUUUAUAGCUGUAUGUAGUCAACAGAGGCUUGCUUUUCAGGUUAUUAGAAGAUCCUACGUGGGAUAAGCUAUGUGGGAUGUAGCUUGCUCUGGGAAAAGUCCCUAUUGACUUUACUGGCCUGAGAAUCAAUUCUUAAGAAUGCCGUUUAUGACUCUACAUCAGCUGCUCCCUAAAAAUCUACCUAUAUUGUCUUUAAGCGUGAGCCCAAGUAUGUGGUUGGGCCCCGUUGCUUUCAGGCACUGAUACUGGACAAACCUUGUGCACUGGAACAGACUCUUAAUAGAGGAUGCUGCACACCCAAAUCUGCAGGUGGCCGUGCUUGUCUCCCCAAGAGUUCUGUCAAACAUCCCAUGAUGUUGUGAGUCAACAUCUGGCAGUUAGCUUGGCCAGGCUUCUUCCUAGCAGGGUCUGACAUGUCAUGAAGGGUGGGCAGAUGGAGGACAGAUGCUCUCUUGCUCGCAAACUGGAUGCAGAAAGCAUGGUUUAUCUUGUUUUUGGAACUCUGCUGUUUAAGACAGUGUCAACAUAGCCCUUGAUUAUUUUCUGGCUUCUCUUUAUUCAUUUUCUGCCUCACCGUCAAUUUUCAUACACAUUUCUCUCUGCUGUCCCCAUUCCUGACUCCUCAGGUAGUUACUUUUACAAAUUAAUGUUACAGUUUUCAUCACACAUCAUUGGGCUAAAGUUCUGCAGUCAGUUGCAACUGCAUUGAGUUGUAAUCAAUGGUGCUGAAAGUAUUAUGGCCUUAAAAAGCAAAUCUGACUCCAGAUAUUUCAGACCUUUCAACUGUGGUGGGACAGAGCUGUUAACAUGUGCGAUGCAAUGGAGUGCAAAUGCAGGGGGUCAAGGUCAUAAUGAUAAUGUACCAGUGAAACUUAGCAUGUCAUGACAGCUAAUCAUAGAACAGAAUCAGGUCCGUGGAGCUUCUUUGUAGCCUUUAUAUUAUACAUAAAUAUAUCCUAUUCUAUAUACAUAUAUAUCCCAUGUUUAUCCUACAUAUUUUUAAUAUACGGAGUAUGCAUUAUAUAUAUGUGUAUAUAUAUAAAAAUAAAUCAACUUCAGUAUCUCUGUA